rnacentral:rRNA from 1 species
AGUGAACGCUGGCGGUAGGCCUAACACAUGCAAGUCGAACGGCAGCACAGUAAGAGCUUGCUCUUACGGGUGGCGAGUGGCGGACGGGUGAGGAAUACAUCGGAAUCUACUUUUUCGUGGGGGAUAACGUAGGGAAACUUACGCUAAUACCGCAUACGACCUACGGGUGAAAGCAGUGGAUCUUCGGACCUUGCGCGAUUGAAUGAGCCGAUGUCGGAUUAGCUAGUUGGCGGGGUAAAGGCCCACCAAGGCGACGGUCCGUAGCUGGUCUGAGAGGAUGAUACGCCACACUGGAACUGGGACACGGACCAGACUCCUACGGGAGGCAGCAGUGGGGAAUGGUGGACAAUGGGCGCAAGCCUGAUCCAGCCAUACCGCGUGGGUGAAGAAGGCCUUCGGGUUGUAAAGCCCUUUUGUUGGGAAAGAAAAGCAGCAGCUUAAUACCCCGCUGUUCUGACGGUACCCAAAGAAUAAGCACCGGCUAACUUCGUG